rnacentral:rRNA from 1 species
CAGUAGCCACGGGAACACGAAGGGUGCAAGCGUUAAUCGGAAUUACUGGGCGUAAAGCGCACGUAGGCGGCUUUGUAAGUUAGAGGUGAAAGCCUGGAGCUCAACUCCAGAAUUGCCUUUAAGACUGCAUCGCUUGAAUCCAGGAGAGGUGAGUGGAAUUCCGAGUGUAGAGGUGAAAUUCGUAGAUAUUCGGAAGAACACCAGUGGCGAAGGCGGCUCACUGGACUGGUAUUGACGCUGAGGUGCGAAAGCGUGGGGAGCAAACAGGAUUAGAUACCCCAGUAGUCCCUGUCUCUUAUAC